UAGAAUUAUCACACCUAAAGGGAUGAAAUCCCUAAAGCUCUCCCAAUGGGCACGAUUCAGCCUCCAAGUGAGGUGGUGGAGGUUCGCGACGGCUUAUGGUGGCUCGGAGGUCUGUUGGUGGCGACGGAAAUUUCAAGGGAGUUCACGGUCUCCUCUCUCUCUUUUGAAGUUGCAGUGAUUCGGUUCUUCUCUCGGAUGGCUUGCGGUGGUUCUGUUGGCGGGGAUAUAAUCACGAUUGGGGUCAUCUCCUCCUCUUUUCCUCCUUUUGGUGGUGACAGAGGUUCAGGUCGCGGUGGUUUAAUGGAUUCAGGAUGGAAGAAUGGUAUCUCUUGAGGUAGGGGUUUACGGUGGUUCGGUAAUCCAUUCUCGCAGUGGCUUAAGGUGGUUCCGAAUCGGUAAUUUAUUAUUGCGGUGGCUCACGGUGGCUCCGAGUCGAAGGUGAACUCACCUUCUUCUUUACUUUUUAUUUUUUAUCCAGUCUAUUCGUCUCUUUCCUUUCGUUUUUACUUUUCGUUUUAUGAAUCGAUGGCUUUGGCAUCUGUUAUUGCUUCCUUCUUUUCGAAUAGAUGAUUUUCUAAUUAUGCUCAUAUGCAGGGUGAAACAUUAUUUAAGAUGUUUAUCGAACCAGGAUAGUGGCCCUUGUUCUUGCGCUGGUAAUGACGGAAAUGUCGUUGGCCCGUGAGUAAUUGCUCUUGGGCUGUCCGGCAGUAGUGAGUAUUAGCUUCGCUAAGGACUUUUCACACAAAGUGAUAUCAACACGAGUUGGUAUUUUUUACUUUAACAACUGUCCAAUGCUCCAAAAUAUGUGUGUUAGAUGUAUGUAUCUUAUUUGAUAUAUAGGUUAUCCUAAGGGUAUUCUACUUGUAAUUAUGUAAUGAAAAUGAUAGUUGUCUUACCUGAAUGUGUUCCUAUCUACACAUUGCUUUUACUGACUCCCUGCUGAGUUCCUGCUUUUUGUUCUCCGGUUCCUGCCUUUUGUUCUAUG
rnacentral:lncRNA from 1 species